rnacentral:lncRNA from 1 species
UGAAUGUAUUCCAAAAGCCGUCCCGCCGCCAAUACCGCUGCGAACGGCAUGCCGUACGCUGCCAGUGAUGAUGUCAUGAGACUGGACGAGCGGUUCAGCGCGUCACGCCCUGCUUGGCCUUCCAGUACGGCAGCAGGUAGCGCCAGCUGAAUCCUCAUGAGUCGCGGUAGGGCCCACACCGCCGGAAGCACUAGCAGGCAC